rnacentral:rRNA from 1 species
AUGAAGCUCCUAUGUUGGAACAUUAGGGGCUUUGGCCUCACUGGCCGGCGACGGCAGCUCAUUGAGUAUCUGCGGCAGGAAGAGAUCGACAUUGUGGGACUUCAGGAGACGAUUCGCUAGGAUUUUAGUAUGCUUGAGCUCCAGGGGCUCUCUCGCCACCAGUUUGCCUUGCAGUGGUUUCCUGCUACGGGGCAGUCUGGGGGCAUCCUGCUCGGCGUCAGGGAGGAUGCCUUCUCGGUUGAGGAUAUGGACCGAGGGGAAUUCUUCCUGAGCAUGUCCGUCACUAACGACGACUUCACCUCAGCUGGGAAGUGA